GUGAGGAAUAUUGGUCAAUGGGCGCAAGCCUGAACCAGCCAUGCCGCGUGCAGGAAGACGGUCCUAUGGAUUGUAAACUGCUUUUAUUUGGGAAUAAACUCCGGUACGUGUACCGGCCUGAAGGUACCAAAUGAAUAAGCACCGGCUAACACCGUGCCAGCAGCCGCGGUAAUACGGAGGGUGCAAGCGUUAUCCGGAAUCAUUGGGUUUAAAGGGUCCGCAGGCGGUCUUAUAAGUCAGUGGUGAAAGCCUACAGCUCAACUGUAGAACUGCCAUGGAUACUGUAGGACUUGAAUUCGGUCGAAGUGGGCGGAAUGUGACAUGUAGCGGUGAAAUGCUUAGAUAUGUCACAGAACACCGAUAGCGAAGGCAGCUCACUAGGUCUGGAUUGACGCUCAGGGACGAAAGCGUGGGGAGCAAACAGGAUUAGAAACCCCUGUAGUCC
rnacentral:rRNA from 1 species